rnacentral:snRNA from 1 species
GCGCUCACUUCAGGGGCACAAGUACUGAAGUUGGAGUGAUACAGAGAAGACUAGCAUGGGCCCUGAAGAAGGGUGAUACAUGAGUUCACGAAGCGUUCCACGUUUUU